rnacentral:rRNA from 1 species
GUAGGUGGCAAGCGUUAUCCGGAAUUACUGGGCGUAAAGCGCACGCAGGCGGCUUAGCAAGUUCGACGUGAAAGCUCCCGGCUUAACUGGGAGAGGUCGUUGAAGACUGCUGGGCUUGAGGCAAGGAGAGGGGUGUAGAAUUCCCGGUGUAGUGGUGGAAUGCGUAGAUAUCGGGGGGAAUACCAGUGGCGAAAGCGGCACCCUAGCCUUAGCCUGACGCUCAGGUGCGAAAGCGUGGGGAGCGAACGGGAUUAGAUACCCCGGUAGUCCACGCUGUAAACGAUGAACACUAGGUGUAGGGGAUGUGAAAGUUCUCUGUGCCGAAGCCAACGCGUUAAGUGUUCCGCCUGGGGAGUACGGCCGCAAGGCUAAA